rnacentral:rRNA from 1 species
AUGAACGCUGGCGGCGUGCCUAAUACCUGCAAGUCGAGCGAACGGACGAGAAGCUUGCUUUUCUGAUGUUAGCGGCGGACGGGUGAGUAACACGUGGAUAACCUACCUAUAAGACUGGGAUAACUUCGGGAAACCGGAGCUAAUACCGGAUAAUAUUUUGAACCGCAUGGUUCAAAAGUGAAAGACGGUCUUGCUGUCACUUAUAGAUGGAUCCGCGCUACAUUAGCUAGUUGGUAAGGUAACGGCUUACCAAGGCAACGAUGCAUAGCCGACCUGAGAGGGUGAUCGGCCACACUGGAACUGAGACACGGUCCAGACUCCUACGGGAGGCAGCAGUAGGGAAUCUUCCGCAAUGGGCGAAAGCCUGACGGAGCAACGCCGCGUGAGUGAUGAAGGUCUUCGGAUCGUAAAACUCUGUUAUUAGGGAAGAACAUAUGUGUAAGCAACUGUGCACAUCUUGACGGUACCUAAUCAGAAAGCCACGGCUAACUACGUG